rnacentral:rRNA from 1 species
GACGAACCGUGCGAACGUUGUUCGGAAUCACUGGGCUUAAAGGGCGCGUAGGCGGCUUCGCAAGUCCGGGGUGAAAGCCCCCAGCUCAACUGGGGAAGUGCCUUGGAUACUGCGGGGCUCGAGGGAGGUAGGGGUGCGUGGAACUUCCGGUGGAGCGGUGAAAUGCGUUGAUAUCGGAAGGAACGCCGGUGGCGAAAGCGAACGCACUGGACCUUCACUGACGCUGAGGCGCGAAAGCCAGGGGGAGCAAACGGG